ACUCAAAUGAAUUGACGGGGGCCCGCACAAGCGGUGGAGCAUGUGGUUUAAUUCGAUGCUACGCGAAAAACCUUACCUAGGCUUGACAUCCCGUGCUACCCGAUGAAAGUCGGGGUCCUCUUCGGAGGCGCGGAGACAGGUGCUGCAUGGCUGUCGUCAGCUCGUGUUGUGAGAUGUUGGGUUAAGUCCCGCAACGAGCGCAACCCUCGUCACUAGUUACCAGCAUUUAGUUGGGGACUCUAGUGAGACCGCUGGGCUAUAAGCCAGAGGAAGGUGGGGAUGACGUCAAGUCCUCAUGGCCUUUAUGUCUAGGGCAACACACGUGCUACAAUGGAGGGUACAAACCGUUGCGAGCUUGUAAAAGUAAGCAAAUCGUAAAAAACCUUCCUCAGUUCGGAUUGAGGUCUGCAACUCGACCUCAUGAAGCUGGAAUCGCUAGUAAUCGCGGAUCAGCACGCCGCGGUGAAUACGUUCCCGGGCCUUGCACACACCGCCCGU
rnacentral:rRNA from 1 species